UGCGCAGGCGGUUAUGUAAGACAGAUGUGAAAUCCCCGGGCUCAACCUGGGAACUGCAUUUGUGACUGCAUGGCUAGAGUACGGUAGAGGGGGAUGGAAUUCCGCGUGUAGCAGUGAAAUGCGUAGAUAUGCGGAGGAACACUGAUGGCGAAGGCAAUCCCCUGGACCUGUACUGACGCUCAUGCACGAAAGCGUGGGGAGCAAACA
rnacentral:rRNA from 1 species